ACGGCUGUGGUCUAACGGCAUGAUCCGAGCUUCCCAAGCUUGUGACCCGGGUUCAAUCAUACUCACUGGCGUUCGUUGCUUUCAACGCUAAGAGGUUGAAAAUCCCGGCAGCCGUA
rnacentral:tRNA from 1 species